GCUCCUGCAGUUUCCAGAGAAUCCAGCCCCUACAACAGGUUGUUCAGUUCAGUGGCAGCAGCUCAAUGGGAUGAUGGAAUCAAUAGAUUUUUAUUCAUGUUAAACCAGUGAAAAACAUUUGUGGCAGGGGUUCAGGAUCUCCAAAGGACCGGCUGGUUAGCAGGACAAGGGUGUCUUGGUGAGAUAAUUUAGAAUUUCAGAUUUGAAUGAAACCAGAAUGAAAAUGAAUGCAAGUUAUUUCCAUUUAUCUGAUUUUUGCAGCAAUUCUAUCCAACCGAGAAGUUAGCAUAAUUUCUUUUCUGAGACACAAAUCUGCCCAAAUGAAACAAAUCAGUCAUAAACUCACUGGAGGGUUCAGUGUCUCUUCCUGACUUUGUAAUGAAGCUCAAAACAGAGAGACAAAGAUGCAUCCAUCAUACCCUGGAAUUCUACCUAUGAAGGGAUUGUGUGACUGUGCCUCCAAUGGAAUCCUGUGACCUCUUGUUUCUGUCACUGAAAAAGUCCUUUCAAGAACUUCAUGUGCACAUUUUUGAAAAUUGUAUCUUUACAGAGCAGAAUAAAGCUUAUGUAAUUUUA